AUGAUUAAAGAUAGCUUGCUAUUUUUAUGAAGAGCGGCGAACGGGUGAGUAACGCGUGGGAAAUCUGCCGAGUAGCGGGGGACAACGUUUGGAAACGAACGCUAAUACCGCAUAACAAUGAGAAUCGCAUGAUUCUUAUUUAAAAGAAGCAAUUGCUUCACUACUUGAUGAUCCCGCGUUGUAUUAGCUAGUUGGUAGUGUAAAGGACUACCAAGGCGAUGAUACAUAGCCGACCUGAGAGGGUGAUCGGCCACACUGGGACUGAGACACGGCCCAGACUCCUACGGGAGGCAGCAGUAGGGAAUCUUCGGCAAUGGGGGCAACCCUGACCGAGCAACGCCGCGUGAGUGAAGAAGGUUUUCGGAUCGUAAAACUCUGUUGUUAGAGAAGAACGUUAAGUAGAGUGGAAAAUUACUUAA
rnacentral:rRNA from 1 species